rnacentral:lncRNA from 1 species
CACCCCAAACCCUCUGGAGAUGUUUUGGGACACCUCAAAACCCUCUGGAGAUGCUCUGGGACACCCCAAACCCCCUGGAUAUGCUCUGGGACACCCCAAAACCCUCUGGAGAUGCUUUGGGACACCCCCAAACCCUCUGCAGAUGUUGUCCAUGGGGCCACCUCCAUCCCUUGGGGACAGAUGGGGACAAAGCCACCCUGGACACCCCAAAGUCUUGGAACCUUCUCAGGUAACCCAGGACCCACCAAAGUGAGACACCCCAAACCCCCUGGAGAUGUUCUGGGACACCCCAAAACCCUCUGGAGAUGUUCUGGGACACCUCAAACCCUCUGGAGAUGUUUUGGGACACCUCAAAACCCCCUGGAGAUGUUCUGGGACACCCCAAAACCUCUGGAGAUGUUCUGGGACACCCCAAACCCUCUGGAGAUGUUCUGGGACACCCCAAACCCUCUGGAGAUGCUCUGGGACACCCCCAAACCCCCUGGAGAUGUUCUGGGACACCCCAAAACCCUCUGGAGAUGUCGGCCAUGGGGCCACCUCCAUCCCUUGGGGACAAACAGGGACAAAUGGGGACAAAGCCACCCUGGACAUCCCAAACUCUUGGAACCCUCUCAGGUCACCCAGAACCCAACAAAGUGAGACACCCCAAAACCAUCUGGAGAUGUUCUGGGACACCCCAAACCCCCUGGAGAUGUUCUGGGACACCCCCAAACCCUCUGGAGAUGUUUUGGGACAUCCCCCAAACCCUCUGGAGAUGUUGUCCAUGGGGCCACCUCCAUCCCUUGGGGACAAACGGGGACAAACAGGGACAAACAGGGACAAAUGGGGACAAAUGCCACCCUGGACACCCCAAAGUCUUGGAACCUUCUCAGAUCACCCAGGACCCACCAAUGUGAGACCCCCAAACCCCCUGGAGAUGUUCUGGGACACCUCAAAACCCUCUGGAGAUGUUCUGGGACACCUCAAAACCCUCUGGAGAUGCUCUGGGACACCUCAAAACCCUCUGGAGAUGUUUUAGGACACCCCCAACCCCCUGGAGAUGUUUUGGGACACCCCAAACCCCCUGGAGAUGUUUUAGGACACCCCAAACCCUCUGGAGAUGUUCUGGGACACCCCCAAACCCUCUGGAGAUGUUCUGGGACACCCCAAAACCCCCUGGAGAUGUUCUGGGACACCCCAAACCCCCUGGAGAUGUUCUGGGACA